rnacentral:rRNA from 1 species
GACGAACGCUGGCGGCGUGCCUAAUACAUGCAAGUCGAGCGAAGUUUUUCUGGUGCUUGCACCGGAAAAACUUAGCGGCGAACGGGUGAGUAACACGUAAAGAACCUGCCUCAUAGACUGGGACCACUAUUGGAAACGAUAGCUAAUACCGGAUAACAGCAUUAACUGCAUGGUUGAUGUUUAAAAGUUGGUUUUGCUAACACUAUGAGAUGGCUUUGCGGUGCAUUAGCUAGUUGGUGGGGUAAAGGCCUACCAAGGCGACGAUGCAUAGCCGACCUGAGAGGGUGAUCGGCCACACUGGGACUGAGACACGGCCCAGACUCCUACGGGAGGCAGCAGUAGGGAAUCUUCCGCAAUGGGCGAAAGCCUGACGGAGCAACGCCGCGUGAGUGAAGAAGGACUUCGGUUCGUAAAGCUCUGUUGUUAGGGAAGAAUGAUUGUGUAGGAACUAAACACAGUAGUGACGGUACCUAACCAGAAAGCCACGGCUAACUACGUG